rnacentral:pre_miRNA from 1 species
CAUAUACUCCCUCCGUUCGGAAUUACUUGUCUCGGAAAUGGAUGUAUCUAGAACUAAAAUACGUCUAGAUACAUCCAUUUCUGCGACAAGUAAUUCCGAACGGAGGGAGUAGGUG